GUCAGCAGUCAUACCACCUGCACUUCAGGCUAAUCCAUCUGAAGCGAAGUAGGUUUGGGCCUGGCUAGUACUUGGAUGGGAGACCAACUAGGACAGCUGGGUUGAUGCUGAAA
rnacentral:rRNA from 1 species